UUUGCAAACUAGAUUGUACUUUCGAUUUCACUAAACCGCUUCUGACAAUUUCAGACAAACAUUGUUGCACCAUCCGAGAUGAAUAAAGAGGAGAAAGAAAUUAUUCGAAUCAAUAGACGUUUCAUUAAGGAAAAUGUGUUUAACAUCAACGAUGUGGCAGACAAAUUAUUCGAAAAGGAAAUUUUAUCUUUGGAGAGUAAAGAAUCCAUCGCGUUGAAGACAGCUGACAGAAGAGCAUAUGAGUUGUUGGAUAUUGUGGUUAAGAGAGGUCAAAGAGCAUUCAGUGGUCUUAUUGAGGCUCUGGAGGAGACGGAGAACCAGGAAGUGGCUGAUCGAUUAAAAGAAAGAGGCAGUCCAACAAGCAACAGGAACUACACAAACUUUGGUGUAAGUGUGGUUCCUAAAACAUCAGCAACAGUCCCACCAGCACCUACAAAGUCCUCAGAAACGACAAAGUCCUCAGAAACAUUGAAGACAAAGUCCCCAGAAACGACAAAGUCCCCGAGUGUCCCACCUUCGGGAUCCCCAAAUCUACCGUCCACAGGGUCACAAAAAGUACAUCCGUCAAGAAGCCCUUCUGAUGUGGAGUGGAUGAAUGAGAUCGAACUGACCAAAUUAAAGGAAAAGUUGAUGUCAACAGAUCCAAACUUUGUGCUGGAGAUGAAAAGAGUCCACGGUGAAAACAUGUACCACAUGACAGGAACCAAGACGAAUCGUGGAAUAUGUCUAAUAAUGGAUAAUAUUCCGAAUAACUUCUGUAGCAUUAGCGAGUGUCACAGCAUAGUGGAUGCUGGGAAGACAUUAAUACGACAGACGUUGAAACUCUGCGGCUUCAAAUGUGUCAACUACACCAGAAACAGUGGAACUGCCCAGAUGAUAAAAGAGAAAAUCCUACAGGAGAUGAGGAAGCCUGAUCAUGCUCAAUACUCUUCAUUUUUUGUGAUCUGUGUGACGAUUGGUCCUGAUCCUAACAACAUUUACGGGAUAGAUGGGGAGAGCGAUCACAUGACCAUUCGGGAACUUCAGGAAGUGAUGUCACAAUGUAAAGAGUUCCACAGCAAGCCUAAAGUGUUAAUGGUUCAUACUGUUCCAAAGUCUCAAUUACAAUGUGAACACAGCUCUCGAUCGAAUGAACAGGAGAGUCAAAACCUGAGUGAAUCCAUGCAGCAUUUAACAUUAGAGGGGGGGUGUUCGAGUCUCGAUAAUGACAACAAUAUGUUUGUUGUUUCAACAGAGCUAGAACCAGGCAUCAGCUAUUUGGUCAGGAUAAAAGGAAAAACUGGUGCAUAUUUCAAUAAUGCUUUGGUGUAUGUUCUGCUGAAGUACGCAGCGUGCAAAUCUUUCCUAGACCUGAUUACUGAGGGAAUGAAAAUCACAUUACCAUGGACAGACUGCUGGCAUCCUGCGAAGAUGAAGGUCGAGACAAUGUGGAUGCUAAUCCUUACAACAAGAAGACAAAGCCAAGUGUUUGUGUGGCCACGCUGAGAGUCCUGACAAAACCCAGUAAACAAUUGUUCCUCUUCCCUCUGUACGAGGACACAGGCACACAGGUUUCCAGUUAAUGUGAACCUUUUAACACAAACAGAAGAACUUCAGAGGAGUUUAAUAACACAGCAUGAAUCACCAACUAUAGACUUCCUAUCUUCUUAAUAUUCAUAAACUUGUCACUGAUCCCACGAGUUCUAGACAUGGCCGCUGCUGUGUCUGUCAUAAACUUGUCGCUGAUCCCACGAGUUCUAGACAUGGCCGCUGCUGUGUCUGUCAUAAACUUGUCGCUGAUUCCACGAGGAGUUCUAGACAUGGCCACCCCUGUGUCUGUCAUAAACUUGUCGCUGAUUCCAUGAGGAGUUCUGUGAUCAUCAUCAUCAUCAACCAGUUUUGAUUAUACAGGCCAUGUAUUAAUCCUCAUGUUGAGGGUGUGGCCUGCCUGUCUGUUGAGAGCGAAGUCUUCCUUUCCACACAUGGUGAUCCAGUGGUUUGUGUUUGUCAUAAUCCUGUUGCUGAUCCCACAAGUAGUUCUAGACAUGGCCGCCCCUGUGUCUGUCAUAAACUUGUCACUGAUCCCACGAGGAGUUCAGAUUGUCUAGACAUGGUCUGUAGUAUCUAUAAAACCUGGAGAUCACCAAACAUUAUAUCUAGCUCUGUAAUCACCGACGGAACACGUUAUACAGUACGUAAUCACCGACGGAACACGUUAUACAGUACGUAAUCACCGACGGAACACUUUAUGCAGUACGUAAUCACCGACGGAACACUUUAUACAGUACGUAAUCACCGACGGAACACUUUAUACAGUACGUAAUCACCGACGGAACACUUUAUACAGUACGUAAUCACCGACGGAACACGUUAUACAGUACGUAAUCACUGACGGAACACGUUAUACAGUACGUAAUCACCGACGGAACACGUUAUACAGUACGUAAUCACCGACGGAACACUUUAUACAGUACGUAAUCACCGACGGAACACUUUAUACAGUACGUAAUCACCGACGGAACACGUUAUACAGUACGUAAUCACCGACGGAACACUUUAUACAGUACGUAAUCACCGACGGAACACGUUAUACAGUACGUAAUCACCGACGGAACACGUUAUACAGUACGUAAUCACCGACGGAACACGUUAUACAGUACGUAAUCACCGACGGAACACUUUAUAUAGUAUAUAAUCACUGACAGAACACUUUAUACAGUACGUAAUCACUGACAGAACACUCUAUACAGUACGUAAUCACUGACAGAACACUUUAUAUAGUAUGUAAUCACCGACAGAACACUAUACAGUAUGUAAUCACCGACAGAACACUUUAUACAGUACGUAAUCACCGACAGAACACGUUAUACAGUACGUAAUCACCGACAGAACACUUUAUACAGUACGUAAUCACUGACAGAACACUCUAUACAGUACAUAAUCACUGACAGAACACUUUAUACAGUACAUAAUCACUGACAGAACACUUUAUACAGUACGUAAUCACUGACAGAACACUUUAUACAGUAUGUAAUCACCGACAGAACACGUUAUACAGUAUGUAAUCACCGACAGAACACUUUAUACAGUACGUAAUCACCGACAGAACACUUUAUACAGUAUGUAAUCACUGACGGAACACUUUAUACAGUACAUAAUCACUGACGGAACACUUUAUACAGUACAUAAUCACUGACAGAACACUUUAUACAGUACAUAAUCACUGACAGAACACUUUAUACAGUACAUAAUCACCGACAGAACACUUUAUACAGUACAUAAUCACCGACAGAACACUUUACACAGUACAUAAUCACCGACAGAACACUUUAUACAGUACGUAAUCACUGACAGAACACUUUAUACAGUAUGUAAUCACCGACGGAACACCCAAACCUCUGUCAUCUAUUGAAUGUAAAUACAGUAAAACAUGGAUACAGUGAAAUAUGCUUAUAACGAAGUGCUAGUGACAAAGAAUUUUGAUCACUAUAAACUUAUUUCGUUAUAUCCAAUAAGUUCAUGAUAUAUUUUAAUACUUCAGGGAAUGAAAAUGGCUUCGGUGUAAGCGUGAAUUCAUUAUAACCUCGUUCACUGUAUCCAUGUUUUACUGUAUUUACAUUCAAUGCAACUUUUCUUUAUCGACUCUGUUGUAUAGUUACAUCAAUUGAUAUGAUUUUGGCUUCUGUCAUAUCGUCAAUGAUGACAACAGAACCAUACCUCAUUGUUUAAGUGACAUCUUGUCUGUAGCGGUCAGCCGAGUUCGAUCGUCGGUGGCCAGAUAGCUCAGUUGGUAGAGCACCUGACUUAGGGAUUCAGGGUGCACGGUCCGUUGCAUUUUCUCCCUUCCUGUUACAUGUCUAUGAAACUGUGAUAUAGUGUGUAUGCAUCUCUGUGUAAUAUCAUGUAAUACAAUUUUGAAAAAAAAAAUAAAAAUGAAAAACAA